UGGGGAAUAUUGCACAAUGGGCGAAAGCCUGAUGCAGCAACGCCGCGUGAGUGAUGAAGGUCUUCGGAUUGUAAAGCUCUGUCUUUUGGGACGAUAAUGGACGGUACCAAAGGAGGAAGCCACGGCUAACUACGUGCCAGCAGCCGCGGUAAUACGUAGGUGGCGAGCGUUGUCCGGAUUUACUGGGCGUAAAGGGUGCGUAGGCGGAUGUUUAAGUGAGAUGUGAAA
rnacentral:rRNA from 1 species